rnacentral:rRNA from 1 species
GGAUGCCCUGGCAGUCAGAGGCGAUGAAGGACGUGCUAAUCUGCGAUAAGCGUCGGUAAGGUGAUAUGAACCGUUAUAACCGGCGAUUUCCGAAUGGGGAAACCCAGUGUGAUUCGUCACACUAUCAUUAACUGAAUCCAUAGGUUAAUGAGGCGAACCGGGGGAACUGAAACAUCUAAGUACCCCGAGGAAAAGAAAUCAACCGAGAUUCCCCCAGUAGCGGCGAGCGAACGGGGAGCAGCCCAGAGCCUGAAUCAGUGUGUGUGUUAGUGGAAGCGUCUGGAAAGGCGCGCGAUACAGGGUGACAGCCCCGUACACAAAAAUGCACAUACUGUGAGCUCGAUGAGUAGGGCGGGACACGUGGUAUCCUGUCUGAAUAUGGGGGGACCAUCCUCCAAGGCUAAAUACUCCUGACUGACCGAUAGUGAACCAGUACCGUGAGGGAAAGGCGAAAAGAACCCCGGCGAGGGGAGUGAAAAAGAACCUGAAACCGUGUACGUACAAGCAGUGGGAGCACGCUUAGGCGUGUGACUGCGUACCUUUUGUAUAAUGGGUCAGCGACUUAUAUUCUGUAGCAAGGUUAACCGAAUAGGGGAGCCGAAGGGAAACCGAGUCUUAACUGGGCGUUAAGUUGCAGGGUAUAGACCCGAAACCCGGUGAUCUAGCCAUGGGCAGGUUGAAGGUUGGGUAACACUAACUGGAGGACCGAACCGACUAAUGUUGAAAAAUUAGCGGAUGACUUGUGGCUGGGGGUGAAAGGCCAAUCAAACCGGGAGAUAGCUGGUUCUCCCCGAAAGCUAUUUAGGUAGCGCCUCGUGAAUUCAUCUCCGGGGGUAGAGCACUGUUUCGGCAAGGGGGUCAUCCCGACUUACCAACCCGAUGCAAACUGCGAAUACCGGAGAAUGUUAUCACGGGAGACACACGGCGGGUGCUAACGUCCGUCGUGAAGAGGGAAACAACCCAGACCGCCAGCUAAGGUCCCAAAGUCAUGGUUAAGUGGGAAACGAUGUGGGAAGGCCCAGACAGCCAGGAUGUUGGCUUAGAAGCAGCCAUCAUUUAAAGAAAGCGUAAUAGCUCACUGGUCGAGUCGGCCUGCGCGGAAGAUGUAACGGGGCUAAACCAUGCACCGAAGCUGCGGCAGCGACGCUUAUGCGUUGUUGGGUAGGGGAGCGUUCUGUAAGCCUGUGAAGGUGUGCUGUGAGGCAUGCUGGAGGUAUCAGAAGUGCGAAUGCUGACAUAAGUAACGAUAAAGCGGGUGAAAAGCCCGCUCGCCGGAAGACCAAGGGUUCCUGUCCAACGUUAAUCGGGGCAGGGUGAGUCGACCCCUAAGGCGAGGCCGAAAGGCGUAGUCGAUGGGAAACAGGUUAAUAUUCCUGUACUUGGUGUUACUGCGAAGGGGGGACGGAGAAGGCUAUGUUGGCCGGGCGACGGUUGUCCCGGUUUAAGCGUGUAGGCUGGUUUUCCAGGCAAAUCCGGAAAAUCAAGGCUGAGGCGUGAUGACGAGGCACUACGGUGCUGAAGCAACAAAUGCCCUGCUUCCAGGAAAAGCCUCUAAGCAUCAGGUAACAUCAAAUCGUACCCCAAACCGACACAGGUGGUCAGGUAGAGAAUACCAAGGCGCUUGAGAGAACUCGGGUGAAGGAACUAGGCAAAAUGGUGCCGUAACUUCGGGAGAAGGCACGCUGAUAUGUAGGUGAAGUCCCUCGCGGAUGGAGCUGAAAUCAGUCGAAGAUACCAGCUGGCUGCAACUGUUUAUUAAAAACACAGCACUGUGCAAACACGAAAGUGGACGUAUACGGUGUGACGCCUGCCCGGUGCCGGAAGGUUAAUUGAUGGGGUCAGCGCAAGCGAAGCUCUUGAUCGAAGCCCCGGUAAACGGCGGCCGUAACUAUAACGGUCCUAAGGUAGCGAAAUUCCUUGUCGGGUAAGUUCCGACCUGCACGAAUGGCGUAAUGAUGGCCAGGCUGUCUCCACCCGAGACUCAGUGAAAUUGAACUCGCUGUGAAGAUGCAGUGUACCCGCGGCAAGACGGAAAGACCCCGUGAACCUUUACUAUAGCUUGACACUGAACAUUGAGCCUUGAUGUGUAGGAUAGGUGGGAGGCUUAGAAGUGUGGACGCCAGUCUGCAUGGAGCCGACCUUGAAAUACCACCCUUUAAUGUUUGAUGUUCUAACGUUGACCCGUAAUCCGGGUUGCGGACAGUGUCUGGUGGGUAGUUUGACUGGGGCGGUCUCCUCCUAAAGAGUAACGGAGGAGCACGAAGGUUGGCUAAUCCUGGUCGGACAUCAGGAGGUUAGUGCAAUGGCAUAAGCCAGCUUGACUGCGAGCGUGACGGCGCGAGCAGGUGCGAAAGCAGGUCAUAGUGAUCCGGUGGUUCUGAAUGGAAGGGCCAUCGCUCAACGGAUAAAAGGUACUCCGGGGAUAACAGGCUGAUACCGCCCAAGAGUUCAUAUCGACGGCGGUGUUUGGCACCUCGAUGUCGGCUCAUCACAUCCUGGGGCUGAAGUAGGUCCCAAGGGUAUGGCUGUUCGCCAUUUAAAGUGGUACGCGAGCUGGGUUUAGAACGUCGUGAGACAGUUCGGUCCCUAUCUGCCGUGGGCGCUGGAGAACUGAGGGGGGCUGCUCCUAGUACGAGAGGACCGGAGUGGACGCAUCACUGGUGUUCGGGUUGUCAUGCCAAUGGCACUGCCCGGUAGCUAAAUGCGGAAGAGAUAAGUGCUGAAAGCAUCUAAGCACGAAACUUGCC